rnacentral:rRNA from 1 species
GACGAACGCUGGCGGCGUGCUUAACACAUGCAAGUCGAACGGAAAGGCCCUGCUUUUGUGGGGUGCUCGAGUGGCGAACGGGUGAGUAACACGUGAGUAACCUGCCCUUGACUUUCGGAUAACUUCAGGAAACUGGGGCUAAUACCGGAUAGGAGCUCCUGCUGCAUGGUGGGGGUUGGAAAGUUUCGGCGGUUGGGGAUGGUCUCGCGGCUUAUCAGCUUGUUGGUGGGGUAGUGGCUUACCAAGGUUUUGACGGGUAGCCGGCCUGAGAGGGGGACCGGCCACAGUGGGACUACGAGACGGAGCAGACGCGUACGGGAGGCAGCGGUGGGGAAUCUUGCACAAUGGGCGGAAGCCAGAUGCAGCAACGCCGCGUGCGGGAUGACGGCCUUCGGGCGGUAAACCGCUUUCGCCUGUGACGAAGCGUGAGUGACGGUAAUGGGUAAAGAAGCAACGGCUAACUACGUG